AAUACUGAAUGGGCCAGCCACAGCGGCUGGGAAAAGUGAAUUUCAUAACCAGAAGUCAAAGCUGGAGAACAAAGCAUGUUAAUGCAACCCUGGACCUGAUCAAGGGCAGCAUGACUUUAUAUCACCACAUAUUCAUCUAUCUUUAUACCAAUUGUACUGUUUUCAUCACCGUAACUUUAUAUUGUGACUUGAAAUCAGGCAGACUGAUGGUGGUCCUGACUAUGGACACUACGGUGGCCUGUGAAGCAGCCCCAGCCCCUCUUGGCCACAGUCCAGGAGCCUCUGAAAACACUGAUGCGAGAGCCUGUAUGGAAGUCCAUGUUUCCAGAAGAGAAGUUCCAGCACACCAUUGGAAUAAAAGAGAAAAGAAUUACAGGUUUGGGUGCAUUGGAGUGGAUAAGAAUAGCCUGACUUUACCUUCAUCACUCCUUCUCCAAGGCAGCAGUUUAGGGCCAAAAGGGAUUUUUUUCAGCCUGUGAUUUCUCCCAUGGGGGAAAAAGUUGAGCCUGUGAGUGAACACCUGCUUCCCCGGCUGUGUGAGCCGCUGCCAAAGAGGCUCAUUUCUGUCUUGCCCCAUCCAGGGGACUGAAUCAUAAGCCAAGUGACUGGGGGGUGGGAAGAGUCUGGGAGAGAGGCAGACAGGACUCUCAGAGGGCAUGAAAGGCACUAGGAUCAUAACUAACCCCAUUCCGGACUCCAUCUUAAGACCUGCUAGGUAUGCCUCACUUGGAGAUCCCCCCAACUAGCCCAGGUGCACCCCCCAGUGCUCCUCAUGCCUUGGCCAUACACACUAUUCAGAGCAGUUUUAGGUUUCCAGAAAAAUUGAGCAUAAAGUAUGAAGGGUUUUUAUAAACAUACAGUUUAUAACA